rnacentral:rRNA from 1 species
UGCAGUCGAACGAUGAUCCUGGGGCUUUGGUUCUGGGUGAUUAGUGGCGAACGGGUGAGUAACACGUGAGUAACCUGCCCCAGACUCUGGGAUAACUCCGGGAAACCGGGGCUAAUACCGGAUAUGACCUGCGCGCGCAUGUGUCGUGGGUGGAAAGAUUUUUUGGUUUGGGAUGGGCUCGCGGCCUAUCAGCUUGUUGGUGGGGUGAUGGCCUACCAAGGCGACGACGGGUAGCCGGCCUGAGAGGGUGAUCGGCCACACUGGGACUGAGACACGGCCCAGACUCCUACGGGAGGCAGCAGUGGGGAAUAUUGCACAAUGGGCGCAAGCCUGAUGCAGCGACGCCGCGUGAGGGAUGACGGCCUUCGGGUUGUAAACCUCUUUCAGCAGGGAAGAAGCGGAAGUGACGGUACCUGCAGAAGAAGCACCGGCUAACUACGUGCCAGCAGCCGCGGUAAUACGUAGGGUGCGAGCGUUGUCCGGAAUUAUUGGGCGUAAAGAGCUUGUAGGCGGUUUGUCGCGUCUGCUGUGAAAAUCCGGGGCUCAACUCCGGACUUGCAGUGGGUACGGGCAGACUAGAGUGUGGUAGGGGAGACUGGAAUUCCUGGUGUAGCGGUGGAAUGCGCAGAUAUCAGGAGGAACACCGAUGGCGAAGGCAGGUCUCUGGGCCACUACUGACGCUGAGAAGCGAAAGCAUGGGGAGCGAACAGGAUUAGAUACCCUGGUAGUCCAUGCCGUAAACGUUGGGCGCUAGGUGUGGGGCUCAUUCCACGAGUUCCGUGCCGCAGCUAACGCAUUAAGCGCCCCGCCUGGGGAGUACGGCCGCAAGGCUAAAACUCAAAGGAAUUGACGGGGGCCCGCACAAGCGGCGGAGCAUGCGGAUUAAUUCGAUGCAACGCGAAGAACCUUACCAAGGCUUGACAUACACCGGAACAGUGCAGAGAUGUGCUGGCCUUUUGGGCUGGUGUACAGGUGGUGCAUGGUUGUCGUCAGCUCGUGUCGUGAGAUGUUGGGUUAAGUCCCGCAACGAGCGCAACCCUCGUUCCAUGUUGCCAGCAGCGCUUUCGGGUGGCUGGGGACUCAUGGGAGACUGCCGGGGUCAACUCGGAGGAAGGUGGGGAUGACGUCAAAUCAUCAUGCCCCUUAUGUCUUGGGCUUCACGCAUGCUACAAUGGCCGGUACAAAGGGUUGCGAUGCCGUGAGGUGGAGCGAAUCCCAAAAAACCGGUCUCAGUUCGGAUUGGGGUCUGCAACUCGACCCCAUGAAGUCGGAGUCGCUAGUAAUCGCAGAUCAGCAACGCUGCGGUGAAUACGUUCCCGGGCCUUGUACACACCGCCCGUCAAGUCACGAAAGUCGGUAACACCCGAAGCCGGUGGCCCAACCCUUGUGGGGGGA